rnacentral:rRNA from 1 species
GACGAACGCUGGCGGCGUGCUUAACACAUGCAAGUCGAACGCUGAAGCUCAGCUUUUGUUGGGUGGAUGAGUGGCGAACGGGUGAGUAACACGUGAGUAACCUGCCCCCUUCUUUGGGAUAACGCCCGGAAAUGGGUGCUAAUACUGGAUAUUCACUGGUCUUCGCAUGGGGGUUGGUGGAAAGGGUUUUUCUGGUGGGGGAUGGGCUCGCGGCCUAUCAGCUUGUUGGUGGGGUGAUGGCCUACCAAGGCUUUGACGGGUAGCCGGCCUGAGAGGGUGACCGGUCACAUUGGGACUGAGAUACGGCCCAGACUCCUACGGGAGGCAGCAGUGGGGAAUAUGGCACAAUGGGCGCAAGCCUGAUGCAGCGACGCCGCGUGAGGGAUGGAGGCCUUCGGGUUGUGAACCUCUUUCGCUCAUGGUCAAGCCGCAACAAUGGUUGUGGUGAGGGUAGUGGGUAAAGAAGCGCCGGCUAACUACGUG